rnacentral:tRNA from 1 species
AAAGCUUUAAGUUAAACAAACUAUUAGCCUUCAAAGCUAAAUAUAGGGAAUAUUAAACCUUAAGCUUUA